CUUAGUGGCGGACGGGUGAGUAACGCGUGGGUAACCUGCCUUACACUGGGGGAUAACACUUAGAAAUAGGUGCUAAUACCGCAUAAGCGCACGAAGCCGCAUGGAUUUGUGUGAAAAACUCCGGUGGUGUAAGAUGGACCCGCGUCUGAUUAGCUUGUUGGCGGGGUAACGGCCCACCAAGGCGACGAUCAGUAGCCGGCCUGAGAGGGUGGACGGCCACAUUGGGACUGAGACACGGCCCAAACUCCUACGGGAGGCAGCAG
rnacentral:rRNA from 1 species